GACGUAGGGCGCGAGCGUUGUCCGGAUUUAUUGGGCGUAAAGAGCUCGUAGGCGGCUUGUUGCGUCGACUGUGAAAACCCGCGGCUUAACUGCGGGCUUGCAGUUGAUACGGGCAGGCUAGAGUUCGGUAGGGGAGACUGGAAUUCCUGGUGUAGCGGUGAAAUGCGCAGAUAUCAGGAGGAACACCGGUGGCGAAGGCGGGUCUCUGGGCCGAUACUGACGCUGAGGAGCGAAAGCUAGGGGAGCAAACGGG
rnacentral:rRNA from 1 species